rnacentral:rRNA from 1 species
GAUGAACGCUGGCGGCGUGCCUAAUACAUGCCAGUCGAGCGAACGGACGAGAAGCUUGCUUCUCUGAUGUUAGCGGCGGACGGGUGAGUAACACGUGGAUAACCUACCUAUAAGACUGGGAUAACUUCGGGAAACCGUAGCUAAUACCGGAUAAUAUUUUGAACCGCAUGGUUCAAAAGUGAAAGACGGUCUUGCUGUCACUUAUAGAUGGAUCCGCGCUGCAUUAGCUAGUUGGUAAGGUAACGGCUUACCAAGGCAACGAUGCAUAGCCGACCUGAGAGGGUGAUCGGCCACACUGGAACUGAGACACGGUCCAGACUCCUACGGGAGGCAGCAGUGGGGAAUCUUCCGCAAUGGGCGAAAGCCUGACGGAGCAACGCCGCGUGAGUGAUGAAGGUCUUCGGAUCGUAAAACUCUGUUAUUAGGGAAGAACAUAUGUGUAAGUAACUGUGCACAUCUUGACGGUACCUACUCAGAAAGCCACGGCUAACUACGUG